rnacentral:rRNA from 1 species
UAUAAGACUGGGAUAACUUCGGGAAACCGGAGCUAAUGCCGGAUAACAUAUAGAACCGCAUGGUUCUAUANGUGAAAGAUGGUUUUGCUAUCACUUAUAGAUGGACCCGCGCCGUAUUAGCUAGCUGGUAAGGUAAUGGCUUACCAAGGCGACGAUACGUAGCCGACCUGAGAGGGUGAUCGGCCACACUGGAACUGAGACACGGUCCAGACUCCUACGGGAGGCAGCAGUAGGGAAUCUUCCGCAAUGGGCGAAAGCCUGACGGAGCAACGCCGCGUGAGUGAUGAAGGUUUUCGGAUCGUAAAACUCUGUUAUUAGGGAAGAACAAAUGCGUAAGUAACUGUGCGCAUCUUGACGGUACCUAAUCAGAAAGCCACGGCUAACUACGUGCCAGCAGCCGCGGUAAUACGUAGGUGGCAAGCGUUAUCCGGAAUUAUUGGGCGUGAAGCGCGCGUAGGCGGUUUCUUAAGUCUGAUGUGAAAGCCCACGGCUCAACCGUGGAGGGUCAUUGGAAACUGGGAAACUUGAGUGCAGAAGAGGAAAGUGGAAUUCCAUGUGUAGCGGUGAAAUGCGCAGAGAUAUGGAGGAACACCAGUGGCGAAGGCGACUUUCUGGUCUGUAACUGACGCUGAUGUGCGAAAGCGUGGGGAUCAAACAGGAUUAGAUACCCUGGUAGUCCACGCCGUAAACGAUGAGUGCUAAGUGUUAGGGGGUUUCCGCCCCUUAGUGCUGCAGCUAACGCAUUAAGCACUCCGCCUGGGGAGUACGACCGCAAGGUUGAAACUCAAAG